ACAACUCCAGUGAACUGUGGGACAGAAAGGAGGCACAGACAGCAGAAUACAGUGCAUUUACUUCUCACAGUUAUUUGCAAGAGUGAAAAAGAAGAGGAGUCAGGAUGAAUGAAUUCUGCCUUCAUUUGUCCCUGUUUUCUUCAUGUUCUCAUUCUCAAAGAACCAGGAUGUCUUCAGCUGAUGUACUCUUGCCCUUGAGCAUCACAGUAUCAUGGGACCACUGAGGACUCAACUUGUGACCGGAGGCAAAACGGAGUUGUGUUUCUGCAUGGCAUGGCCAGCUCCUGAUGUUUAGGCAGCCUGUUUUCAGGGAGCAGCACAUCUUGGAAGUCUGCUUACAGAAUGCGAUGUGGUGAAGAAGGCAUCGUCUCCAUUUGGAUUUGACGGAAGAGGAUAGUUCUUUUCAUCUUGAUCCUGCUUGUUUCUGUCAUGAAGGCUACUGCUCCUGGGUAGCCACACCCUCCUUGUAGUUGCUGUGCCCUGACCUGGAUGGCCUUAAUAUCCAAAGAGCUGUUCUGAGUAAACAAAUAGCAUUCCACUGUUUGUACAGCAGGCCCUCUUUAUCCAUGGGGAUGAAGUUCCAAGGCUCCCAGUGGAUGCCUGCAACCUCAGAUUUUACUGUACCCUACAUGUGUUUUUCCCUAUACGUGCAUGCUACAAUAAACUUUAGCUUACACCUUAGGCAACUAAGGAAUGAACAAUAGUAAUAAGUAGUAAAACAGAACAAUUAUAAUAAUAUAGAGCGAUAAAAGUUAUUUGAAACUUAAGAAU